UACGUAGGGGGCAAGCGUUGUCCGGAAUCGAUUGGCGGUAAGAAGCGUGUAGGCGGCCCGGUAAGUCCGCUGUGAAAGUCCAGGGCUCAACCCUGGAAUGCCGGUGGAUACUGCCGGGCUGGAGUCCGGAAGAGGCGAGUGGAAUUCCCGGUGUAGCAGUGAAAUGCGUAGAGAUCGGGAGGAACAUCAGUUGCGAAGGCGGCUCUCUGGACCAGCACUGACACUGAGGCACGAAAGCGUGGGGAGCAAACGGG
rnacentral:rRNA from 1 species